rnacentral:snoRNA from 1 species
UUGCAUGUGGAAAUGUCUGUUCCUCAUUCUUUUAGGAGCAGGAAUAUAUCCAUAACAUGCUACAUUAAAAAAGGAGUUCUCAGGGCUGCCAACCUUAUAGAAGAGGUUGAGUGGUAGUAUAUUUCUCCUACAUUA